UGGGUAUCGCCAAAGGUAUAGUACGCCAAGUUUGUUUAGUUACUGUGCUAGUUCAAUUCUAACAAGAUGGUUAGGAAUGAAUGAAGGGAUGAAUCAGAUAUAAAUAUGAGAUAUUGGAUUCUCGUAUACGUUUUCCUACAGCUAUAAACCAUUAAUAAAGGUAGUCUAGAAAAUUUGUGAUAUGUGUCAAGUCCCACUAUGAGAACAUGGGUUUUAUAUAUAUUAUGAUAUGGG
rnacentral:lncRNA from 1 species